rnacentral:tRNA from 1 species
AAAGGGGGUAAGUAUAAUACUGGCUGCUAACUGAGUGUUAAAGCGGUUAAACUCCGUUUUCCCUAUU